rnacentral:rRNA from 1 species
UACGGGGGGGGCAAGCGUUGUUCGGAUUUACUGGGCGUAAAGGGCGCGUAGGCGGCCACGACAAGUCAGUUGUGAAAUCUCUGGGCUUAACUCAGAACGGUCAACUGAUACUGUCGGGCUAGAGUGCAGAAGGGGCAACUGGAAUUCUCGGUGUAGCGGUGAAAUGCGUAGAUAUCGAGAGGAACACCUGCGGCGAAGGCGGGUUGCUGGGCUGACACUGACGCUGAGGCGCGAAAGCUAGGGGAGCGAACGGG